AGAGUUUGAUCAUGGCUCAGAAUCAACGCUGGCGGCGUGCCUCAGACAUGCAAGUCGAACGUGAAAGUCCCUUCGGGGGCGAGUAAAGUGGCGCACGGGUGAGUAACACGUGGGUAAUUUGCCUUCGGGUGGGGGAUACCGACCGGAAACGGUCGUUAAUACCGCAUGAUGCAGCGGCUCCGAUUGGAGACAGUUGUUAAAGCGGGGGAUCGGCAGCGAUGCCGACCUCGUGCCUGGAGAGAAGCCCGCGGCGGAUUAGGUAGUUGGUGGGGUAAUGGCUCACCAAGCCUGCGAUCCGUAACCGGCCUGAGAGGGCGGUCGGUCACACUGACACUUAGAUACGGGUCAGACUCCUACGGGAGGCAGCAGUCGGGAAUUUUGGGCAAUGGGCGCAAGCCUGACCCAGCAACGCCGCGUGAAGGAUGAAGCUUUUCGGAGUGUAAACCGCUGUUCGUGGGGACGAAGCACUGACGGUACCCACGGAGGAAGGCCCGGCUAACUACGUGCCAGCAGCCGCGGUAAUACGUAGGGGUCGAGCGUUGUCCGGAGUUACUGGGCGUAAAGCGUGCGCAGGCGGCUCAUCGCGCUCGGCGUGAAAGCCCCCGGCUCAACCGGGGAGGGUCGUCGAGGACGGGUGAGCUUGAGGGUAUCAGGGGUUGGUGGAAUUCCCGGUGUAGUGGUGAAAUGCGUAGAGAUCGGGAGGAACACCCGUGGCGAAGGCGGCAUCCUGGCCCUGUACUGACGCUGAGGCGCGAGAGCGUGGGGAGCAAACCGGAUUAGAUACCCUGGUAGUCC
rnacentral:rRNA from 1 species